CUUCGCCCGAAACCCAUACAGUAACAGGGCUCCCGCCUGAGCCCCUGCUACAGCUCGUUUUAAGAGUGGAACUUGUAAGGGGCGAGAGACUGGAAUACCUGAGAAGAGACAGAAACACUGAAUGCAUGAUAGUCAAAGUACCCAAGGUGGGGAAAGAGAUGCAAAUUCAUCUAUAAAAGACCAGGCAGAAAUGAUGCCUAUGGGAUCUCUUCUUCCUCACCUCAGAAGAUCUGUGGAUACCCCUAGAAGGACUUCCUGAACCUCUGCCUGCAAGAGACAUUGCCCUCAGGAUUACAUAAGACCUAUGUCCUUGUGGAAGAUUCUCUCCUACACAGCCUGG